rnacentral:tRNA from 1 species
GCACCCAUAGCUCAGCUGGAUAGAGCGCUGCCCUCCGAAGGCAGAGGUCAGAGGUUCGAAUCCUCUUGAGGGUA